rnacentral:rRNA from 1 species
CCUACGGGAGGCAGCAGUGGGGAAUCUUGCGCAAUGGGCGAAAGCCUGACGCAGCAACGCCGCGUGCGGGAAGAAGGCUUUCGGGCUGUAAACCGCUUUCAGCAGGAACGAAAAUGACGGUACCUGCAGAAGAAGGAGCGGCCAACUAUGUGCCAGCAGCCGCGGUGAUACAUAGGCUUCAAGCGUUGUCCGGAUUUAUUGGGCGUAAAGAGUUCGUAGGCGGUCGAGUAAGUCGGGUGUGAAAAUUCUGGGCUCAACCCAGAGACGCCACCCGAUACUGCUUGACUUGAGUUCGAUAGGGGAGUGGGGAAUUCCUAGUGUAGCGGUGAAAUGCGCAGAUAUUAGGAGGAACACCGGUGGCGAAGGCGCCACUCUGGAUCGAUACUGACGCUGAGGAACGAAAGCAUGGGUAGCAAACAGGAUUAGAUACCCUGGUAGUCCAUGCCGUAAACGGUGGGCACUAGGUGUGGGUUUCUAUUAACGAAAUCCGCGCCGUCGCUAACGCAUUAAGUGCCCCGCUGGGGAGUACGGUCGCAAGCUAAAACUCAAAGGAAUUGACGGCUGAGACGUGCGAGCGACGACGAGGAGAGG